AUUGAACGCUGGCGGCAUGCCUUACACAUGCAAGUCGAACGGCAGCACGGGAGCAAUCCUGGUGGCGAGUGGCGAACGGGUGAGUAAAGUAUCGGAACGUGCCCAGUCGUGGGGGAUAACGUAGCGAAAGUUACGCUAAUACCGCAUACGAUCUAUGGAUGAAAGCGGGGGAUCGCAAGACCUCGCGCGAUUGGAGCGGCCGAUAUCAGAUUAGGUAGUUGGUGGGGUAAAGGCUCACCAAGCCGACGAUCUGUAGCUGGUCUGAGAGGACGACCAGCCACACUGGGACUGAGAAACGGCCCAGACUCCUACGGGAGGCAGCAGUGGGGAAUUUUGGACCAUGGGCGAAAGCCUGAUCCAGCCAUGCCGCGUGCAGGAUGAAGGCCUUCGGGUUGUAAACUGCUUUUGUACGGAACGAAAAGGUUUGGCCUAAUAAGCUGAGCUCAUGACGGUACCGUAAGAAUAAGCACCGGCUAACUACGUGCCAGCAGCCGCGGUAA
rnacentral:rRNA from 1 species